CCUACGGGUGGCAGCAGUGAGGAAUAUUGGUCAAUGGGCGCGAGCCUGAACCAGCCACGCAGCGUGAAGGAUGACUGCCCUACGGGUUGAAAACUCUUUUUAUAAAGGAAUAAAGUGUGGCACUUGCGCCUUUCUGCACGUACUCUAUGAAUAAGGAUCGGCUAACUCCGUGCCAGCAGCCGCGGUAAUACGGAGGAUCCGCGCGUUAUCCGGAUUUAUUGGGUUUAAAGGGAGCGUAGAUGGGUUGUUAAGUCAGUCGUGAAAGUUUAGGGCUCAACCCUGGAAUUGCGUUUGAUACUGGCAGCCUUGAGUGCAGUAGAGGUAGGCGGAAUUCGUGGUGUAGCGGUGAAAUGCGUAGAUAUCACGAGGAACUCCGGUUGCGAAGGCGGCCUGCUAAACUGCAACUGACAUUGAUGCUCGAAAGUGUGGGUAUCAAACAGGAUUAGAUACCCCUGUAGUC
rnacentral:rRNA from 1 species